CGGGCUGCGGCCGGUGGGCGGCAUGGCCCGAGGAAAUCAAAGAGAACUUGCCCGCCAGAAAAAUAUGAAAAAAACCCAGGAAAUUAGCAAAGGAAAAAGAAAAGAGGAUAGCUUGACUACUUCUCAGAGAAAGCAGAGGUAAUCUCUUGUGGCUCCUAUAAAACUGUAAGAACUUCACUAGAGAAAAU